ACGAACGCUGGCGGCAGGCCUAACACAUGCAAGUCGAACGCCCCGCAAGGGGAGUGGCAGACGGGUGAGUAACGCGUGGGAACGUGCCCAAUGGUACGGGACAACUCCGGGAAACUGGAGCUAAUACCGUAUGUGCCCGAGAGGGGAAAGAUUUAUCGCCUUUGGAUCGGCCCGCGUCUGAUUAGCUAGUUGGUGAGGUAAUGGCUCACCAAGGCGACGAUCAGUAGCUGGUCUGAGAGGAUGAUCAGCCACACUGGGACUGAGACACGGCCCAGACUCCUACGGGAGGCAGCAGUGGGGAAUAUUGGACAAUGGGCGCAAGCCUGAUCCAGCCAUGCCGCGUGAGUGAUGAAGGCCUUAGGGUUGUAAAGCUCUUUCGCUCGCGACGAUAAUGGCGGUAGCGAGAGAAGAAGCCCCGGCUAACUUCGU
rnacentral:rRNA from 1 species